AUGAGCCGGGCGGCCGUGACCCUGCUGGAGUCCGGGGGGGACCUCCAGCCCCCCGGGGGGUCCCUGCGCCUCCUCUGCCGCGCCUCGGGGUUCAAUUUCGGGAGUUACCAAAUGGAGUGGGUCCGACAGAGACCCGGGCAGGGGCUGGAGUGGCUCGCGGGGAUCAGCAGCGGUGGUGGCAGCACCUACUACGCGCCGUCGGUGAAGGGGCCGGGCGACGAUCUCCAGGGCCAACGGGCAGAGCUCGGUGACGCUGACCAUGAACGGCCUCAAGGACGAGGAUUCCGGCUCCUGUUUCUGUGCCAAGGAUGCUGGUGCUGGUUUUUGGGGUGAUCAUGCCGGUGCUAAUGGUUUUACCCCCAUCCCAUCGCCGUGUACCCCCCAGUCCCCAAACCCCAAACCCCAGCCCCUGACCCGUGUCAGCCGCAGUCCAGGGAACCUCUUUGGCCCAGCUGGCUAA